rnacentral:sRNA from 1 species
UUAUAGCCCUGAUAGAAGCGUAAAUCCUUUGCGGAGCAAAGAUUGCAGCGUAUAGCAGGAAAUGCC